AAAAGAGCCAAGCACAGACAGAAGCCCAGUCACCUCUGCUUUCCCCUCUACCAGGCCAAACCCAGCCACUGUUGAAUGCUGCUGUGUGAGUGAGAACUGACCAAAGAAUCUUGGGAAAGAGUCAUAGAAUGGUACAAGAGAAUAGAAUCACAGAACACAGAAUAGAGAGAAUAGAGAAUAGAAUCACAGAAUCACAGAAUCUUGGGAAAAGGUAGAUCAUUGUUGUUUAAAGUCUCCAGAUUUUAAUGUGAUUUGUUACACAGCAAUAGAUAACUGAUACAUGUGGAUGAGAUCUUACUGGGCAAAAGAAAUUUCAAGUUCCUUGAAAUUUGGGAAGAAGAAGCACAACCCUGUGAAAGAAUUCAUCCUGCUGUCUGUAAAUCUGGUUUGGGGGUCUUAGGUGAACUACGUCCAGAAUUUCUGCUUUACUUCCCAGAUAACGUUUUGCCAAACUGGAAAAUGACAACAAAGAAGACACUGCAUCUUUUCAUUGCACUUCCUGUAUAAGCAAAUGACUUAUUUGGACCCUUAAAAAUGCCAUUAAUAAAAAUAAUAUCUCCAGG
rnacentral:lncRNA from 1 species